GGGCGUCUAGCUCAACUGGCUAGAGCAAUUCGUUUACACCGAAUAGGUUUGGGGUUCGAGUCCCUAGACGCCCACCA
rnacentral:tRNA from 1 species